rnacentral:rRNA from 1 species
GACGAACGCUGGCGGCGUGCUUAACACAUGCAAGUCGAACGGAAAGGCCCUGCUUUUGUGGGGUGCUCGAGUGGCGAACGGGUGAGUAACACGUGUGUAUCCUGCCCUUGACUUUGGGAUAACUUCAGGAAACUGGGGCUAAUACCGGAUAGGAUCUCCUGCUGCAUGUGGGGGGUUGGAAAGUUUCGGCGGUUGGGGAUGGUCUCGCGGCUUAUCCGCUUGUUGGUGUAGUAGUGGCUUACCAAGGCUUUGACGGGUAGCCGGCCUGAGAGGGUGACCGGCCACCUUGGGACUGAGAUACGGAGCAGAAUCCUACGGGAGGCAGCAGUGGGGAAUAUUGCACAAUGGGCGGAAGCCUGAUGCAGAAACGCCGCGUGCGGGAUGACGGCCUUCGGGUUGUAAACCGCUUUCGCAUGUGACGAAGAGUGAGUGACGGUAAUGGGUAAAGAAGCACCGGCUAACUACGUG